CGGGGCGUCGUAUAUUGGUAGUACGCCUGUUUUGGGAACAGGUAGGCCGAGUUCGAUUCUCGGCGCCCCGA
rnacentral:tRNA from 1 species